AUUGCAAGGGGAUUACAAUAUCAUGGAUUGGAGCCAAAGGAACUUUUGUCAAUGGUGAUGACAUACAGACUUCAAGUGACUUCUGACAGCAAUUAAUUGCUCCAUAAUUUUUGAUGAUUAAGGAAAAAACCCAUUCAGACUAGAAGAAGCAGGAUGUAUAGAUACAGACUGGUACCUCCACUAUGACAACUGUUGUUGACCCUUUGUUGACCACUGCCAUCAUUCCAUUUUUUCUUUUUCCUCUUUUCAGUCAAUAAUAAAGCUUGAAAUUUAGCAACA